UAUGUCACUGUGGGGUGGGCUUUGAGGUUUCAGAAGUCUAAACCCAGACCCAGCGGUUCUCACUCUUCCUGCUGCUUGCGGAUCCAGAACUCUCAGCUCCUUCUCCAGCACCAGGUCUGCCUGCUGCUGCCUUGCUCCUCAAUGAUGACAAUGGGCUGAACCUCUGAAACUAUGCAAAAUGUGCUGGCCAAGUGAUCCCUUGGAAAAGCAGUCAGGCGUUGGCAAGAUAAACCGUGCUGGGCACCUUAGCCACUGCAGCUCCCUGGCUGGCUUACAGAGGGAGGAUGGAGCUGGGCAGUGCACUCUUCCCUGACACUAAAGUUCUGCCAGAUGGAUGUACUUCCAGGCGAGGUCGCUCAGUUCUGACCCUGAGUCACCAAAAGAGGACUUUGAUUUUUCAGCUGAGAAGUGAGCAACACACAAGCUAUUCUUCCUUGCUGGCGUGUGAUCAAGCUAAGGAGAAAAGGCCACACUCCACAGCCAUGCUGGCUUGUCUCUGUUUCUUUCCCCAAGCCCAUGAACAAACCAGCCAGGACACCAUGGAGGAGAAGACCAAGGAAAUACCUCUUGGCCACCCAGCAAGUGAGAGGCAGGCUCAGGCAAGCUCAGCAGCAUCUUGACCCAUCACUGCACUCUGCUUUUGGAGACUUUGAUAAGGCCCUGGGGAUUGAAACCAGGAUUCAGGACAGCAGACAGCUGGCACCUCCACCCGACUCUCCUUUAGCAGAGAUCUCUCGCCAACCACAAGUUCUCUGCCCUGCCGAUUUUAAACAUAACCUCAGAGUCACUCCCAAGAAAGCCAUAUUAAUCAACGAGAACUGAAAUUCUAAAUCAGAAACAUUUCCCACAUUUGCCAGAAGCAAAGCAUGGGACAGAGUUCUCCAAUAGGGAAGUGGUGAAAACGGUUGCUGCAGCCCUUGUGAGGCCCGUGUGCACUGCCCUUGGACCCUCAGUGCACACUUGCAGGGCAUCCAGCUGCAACCUGAGAGUCUUCUGCAGCGAAGGGACACGGUUUUCUGUUUCCAUACAACUGGCUAGAAAUGCUGAGGAGUUGACAGUAAGUAGCUGAAUGUUGGUGGGUGAAAACCCCUGAUGGGGGAUGUUCUUCUGUAUAUAUACUUCUCUUAUUGGUUGAUGACUAAAACACUGAGUGUCCAGUAGCCAGGCAGGAAGGAUAGGCAGGGUUACCAGAUGAGGAGUAUGCUGGGGAGAGGAGCCAGAGGACCCGGGAGAGAUGCCAUGCUGCCCACGGAGUAACAUGCUAGAUUAUGGGUAAGCCACAGCCUUGUGGCAACACAUAGAUUAAUUGAAAUGGGUUAAUAAUUAAGACAGAGUUAGCCAAUAAGAAGCCUAAGCCAUCAGCCAACAAUUUAAUAAUUAAUAUGUCUCUGUGUGCUGGGGCUAAAGGAUGGUGGGACCUGGCAGUACAGAAACUUUCCUCUGCAUACCCCAGCUUCCUCAUCCCUUAGACAUCAGCUGUUCACUGGAACUCCAGGAUGAAGUGUGCACCAGCCACUUGACAAUGAAGUUUUGUCUGGUCUUUUCUCUGCCUUACUUCUCUACUUCCCUCUUGUUUUCUGCGGAUCUUCUACCUAACUCCUCACACACGGAGCUCCAGGGUCAACUUCUGGGAGAACCCAAACUAAGUUACCUGUGUAGUAGUAACAUUUUCUCAUAGCUGUGUCCAAUUCCUGAUCAGGAAAACCUUACUGGAAGAAGGAAUGCUUUCGGCCCACACUUUGAGUGGAUCCAGUUCAUCAUGGCAGAGCAGGCAUGGGAGCAAACAGCUCUGUGGUGGCAGGAGCUUGCUCACAGGCUUCCUCACCUCACCUCAGCUCUAUGGAGCAGGUAGCAGAGAUGGGGCAAGAAACAUCACUGGGGCAGUAAACCUGACGGCCUAUCUCUCUGAGGCACGCCUCACUGUCCAGAGCCACCACAGCCUCCCCAGACAGUGCCAGCAGAUGGGGAGCAAGUGUUGAAAUCCAUGAGCCUAUAGGAAGAUUUUGUGUUCAAACCAUAACAGACUCGAUAUUCUCUAGGCAUGCCUGUUGAGAGUGUGUGCUUCUGUAGGAGGUGUGAGGAGAGGCCAGUGAUGCAGGAGGGUGAGAACUAGAUGGCCUGACACAAAGUAACGAAGACAGAGGAAGUGGUUUCUUCAAGAAGGUGGUUCUGUUGGAGUCACAGGAACAUGAAGAAGCAGUUGAAGAGCAGAGAGGAAAAUGCAGAGGGAAGGACAUCCAAGCUGCUAAAUCAUAACCACCUGGGAAACUGCAAAUCAGAUUGACUCAGACAUCCCUCAUCUGUAAGGGCUUCUUUAUGCUAUGCUCUUUAUUCUAGGAGAAUCUGCAUAUCUCCUGGCUUUCUGACAGAUGUAUGCAGUAUCUUGGAAAAAAUAUUAAUAAAGAACCCGCUAUUCAAAGCCUUGAGUUCCGAAUAGCAAGAGGCCCAUUCUCUCCUUGGCUCUGGAAAUCUGAGUAUUUCCUAUGAACACCUUGAGGAAAGCACUAGAAACACAUUGCUGCCAACCGUGUUCCUGAUGUCAUUAUUUACUUGUGUAGAGAGCACAUAGAUCAAAAUAGACCGGCAACCGAAAUAAGAUUAUUUUUAUUUGCCACAUUAAGCAAGCUAUUGUCCUCGCCCUGAAAGAGAUUACAUAGGCCCAAACAGUUACCCAAAGUCACUGAAAUCUUUUGACAUGAAAUGCCAGAACCUUUUAGUAGAUGCUAUACUGAGACCAGGGAUAAGGGGAGUAAUGAAAACCAAUCCUAUAAGACUUAACUUGUCCACUUCUAUUUUUCUCCUCUUGACUGCUAGAAAGAAGAACAGGUAUCAUGCUGAAAGUAAAGAUGGAGAAAACACUGGAACUCUGAUUUUUUAAAAUGUACUUCAUUGGAAAUUUUAUUAAAAAUUAUUCUCUGAUAAUUUCA